rnacentral:lncRNA from 1 species
UUCAAUGAUAAUCACAAACGUAGCUAUUCUCAGAAACAGCCCAUGCUCCAUCAUGUUCUUGAAUUCAAAAAGUUAACAUGACCAUAUUGAUUCCGGUCAGCGGAUACAUCAUCUUCUCCACACUCUCCAUCUCUCCUCCUUCAAGCAACCCGAGCUUUUACUGAAUCGUCUGCAACUCCCUGGCGAGAUGAACCACUGUGAACACCUGAAACACUUAUUUUUCAAAGCCGUUAUGUUUUCACGAAGAACAUUAUGAA